GGCUAACUAUUUUUCCCAGGAGGAACUUCAGGUUGACUGACCAGCUACGUUCAGGUUGUAUUUUGUUUCAGUUUGCAAGUAUUGGAACUUCGGAGCCGGCCACUGUGAGAUUCGUUGGAAACACUUGCAGAGAACUGUGCAAAGUCUGCAAACAAGAAACGAAGGACAACUUCCAAACUUCGUUAGACAUCGGUCUGCGUAUUUAGAGGUACAGCGUCCUCUUUCACCAGCGCAUCAUUCCCAUCGUGCGUUUACGAGCAGCGCGGACCGCAGCGAUGACAUUUUGGGACCUGGGACCACGCUUUCCCCGCCUGCUUACUUCUGAAGCUGGACUUACCUCCCCGUCUGAUUCCAGGGAGAGGAUUCAGAGAUGUUGGAUCUCUUCGCGUUGGUGCCGCGUUACGCUGCGCCGGGCGAUGGGGGUUUUGUGGAUGGUUUCAAGUGUAACCUUGCUUCUUGGAAUACUUAAAUCUGUCUUUGAGGUGUUCGUUCGCCGUUGUGAAUUUCCCGUCGCAAGUCUUCACAUAACGGAGCGAAUCUUCUUUAAAGAAAUUGUUGCAUUAUCAGAAAAUACUUCGUAAUAAAGUGAAUGGGGUGAUAAUCUAUAGUCAUAGUCGGCGAAGCCGGUGGUGAAAUGAAAGAACUACUCUAUUCUCCGCAAUAUAUUCUCUGUGUGGGAUGGGUACUGAGGUGUGAGAGAGCAAUGCAGAAGGGAAAAAAAACAAGUUUGGGACAUGAUAGAUGUGCGCGUGCCCAAUGACUCUGUAUGCUACUAUAAUUGCAUGGCAUUGACUAGCCUGCUGGUAGCCGAAUAAAGUGUCACCGUAUUAUUUAUGUUAUUGAUUUAAAAGAGACGAGUGAUUCCUGCCUCACCGUUAAAUAUCCAUUUACCUGGGAUUUUCCUACAAUUAAAAUAUAUUUCACAUUAUUUAUAAAUGGCUAUGAGAGGUUAAAUAUAUAAUCACCUACAGUAGGCUAUAUAAAUCAAUAGAACAUUCUGUAUUGUAAAUUGUAAAUAGUAGUGGUCGACCUGAACCUAUUAAUGAUAAACUUACAUCUGGUCAGCAAUAACAAAUUUCAGUGCUGCUGAAAGUAAACUGUAAAUUUACUUUAUUGAAGUACAAAAUCAAUAUGUGUUAAUUUUGAACUGAAAUUGCAGCACUUGAAGCCCACAUAGGCCCUCAACACUACAUGCACACACACUAACUGGUCUCUAAUUCAAAUUUAAAUAUAGCUUCAUGAAUAAAUGAAUGGGUACUAAGCCAAAAGAUAAUUUAGGUAAACAUGUACAACAGUUCCUGCAUUAAUAAUAACUUUCUAGCUCUAAUAUAGGACAUCAGAGCGAAAGGUGUGUUGAUGCAGGACAUCAACACUAAACACCCUACAUAGUUUGGAACUACAAUGUGUCAGUUGGUAUAAAUUAUGCUGGAGUCCAUUUAACUGUUAAUGUGAAUGCCAAGUUAUGGUGUAACUAAAACAUUUUUUUUUUUUUUUUUGUUAAAGUUCCACCAUGUGCCCUGUCUUAUAGUCAUAUUUACAUUAUUAUAUCAAAGGGGAAAUAUGUCUUGAACAACGCUACUGCAUGAAUACUGUACACCAACAUGUUAUCAGUGUGCCAAGUUACUGUAUGUAAAAUUAAUCUAGGAAAUUAAUGCAGAAAUUUGAUAAGUGACAGGUGAAUAAUGAAGCCAGUAAAAAGGGUGGCGAAGCACUUCCAUUGCAAUCAAAAUAUGGCGCUCAGUCACCAAGAGCUACUGACACACGAAAAAAUGAGCAUGUACACUUACAAAAUAAAAUUAAAAUACAAAAACUGGAAUUUUUAAAUCAUGUUUUUUUACUUUAAAAUCAACUUUCAGUAUUGAUUUAAAUCAACUUUAUAGCAUGGAGCCAGUUAAACAUUGGUUAUGGCCUUCUUGACAGUUUCAUUUAACUUUGUUUUUUUUUUUUGUUUUUUUAAUGGAAAAAUGUAUUCCUCAAAAUGCUCCAGGCUAAAAAGUUCAUAUAAUCUGAUGGAGAAAUUAAUAUAAGUUUCAUGUCCAUAUAAUAGUGCAUUCAUGGCUUCACGCAGAACCUCACACCGCUACUAUGAAUCACACAGGAACAGUCUGUUGUCCAUUUCAUUCAUCAGUCAUCAUCUUCGUUUCUGAAAUACACGUUUUAUCUGUUGCCAUGGUAAAAUAUUCUCCACACACAGGCAAUAUAUCAGAUGUGCUUAAACCUGGUAAGGUGAUAUUUUCUGUUGAAACGCAUCCUGACAGUUAGGUUAUGGGUGUAAAAUUGCACCUUGGUCCAUGACCCAAAGAGUUUUGCAUCCUGGUGGGAAGCAGCGACAUCUGCUGGACAGGCGUGAAGAUGCAGAUGAUUUAGUGCGCUGCAGUUGCAUUACCAACCUGCUGUUGAAAAUUACACAAAUACAAAAUAAUGCAUACACGAGGCUGGCACUGACUUCUAUUUGCAUAAUUAGUAAAAAGCCAUUUAGCUAUCUGUUACAGAAAUAGGUCAAAGAUAUGACUAAUUUAAAUAUUGCAAAAUUCGAUGAUUGAACUUGACAUAAAAAUGGUUGCAAUAUGUUGUAUUCUUUGUUGUUACUGUAAUCGCUGUGUGCAUAUGAUCCUCGUGUAUCUCACCCUCGUAACCUGUAGCUGAUUAUGCUUGUUGUCAAGGAAGUGCGUCCCUGGUUGUGAAGAAAGCAGGGGUGCAGAGCACCGGGGUAUAGAAUGACGAACCUGUGUCUUUGGGCGAACCUCCUUGGUAAAUCCGAGCUGGGUAUUUGGUCAGACUUGUGUUGCUGCAUUUGUACUUACGUUAGCCGCCGGCUAACUAGCUUUGCGUUAUAUUUAGGUUGAACUGAACACCAAUUUGCCAACCACCGUAUUUUGCUAAUCUAACGUGAUCUAACAUUGUAAAUCAACAAUGUGACAGUGUGAGUUUAUUAGAAAGUCACAAAGCUUGCUAUGUUGACUAGCUUGCGAAAAUGUUCUGUGUGAUUUCGUGAAUUCAGAGAAAAGUAUGCUUGCUUUAUUGCCUGUUUUGCGUUGAAGCGGCAAAGCAGUAGCCUAAGGUAUCCGGUGGCACUGAUAUAAUUUCUCAAGAUAUGCCAUCUUGACCGCGCCUGACGGACUUUGACCGAAGAUUGCGGUCACUACACCUGCGACCAUCCAUUCUUGAGAGAGUGAUGCUGCCGUAUUUCUUGGACGACGCAGACCCUCCUGUCGGAAUAAUCGGGCUACGCCUUGCAUUUGAAGAUGAUCGUCACGUCUUGGCGGAGGAGCGGAAGGCGUGCAGGGCUCGCGCGCGCAAACUUUCCGUGGAAAAUAAUCGGCGCAGGAAAGCCCAGGAGGAGCGGAGGCAGGCGGUGGAGCUCCGCGAGCAGAAGCUGCGGGAGGAGAUCCUGCAGGAGCGCAGACGGAAGCUUCUGGAAGCUACAGAGCAGCACCAGAGGGCCCACCUGCCUCCCUCGCAGCGGAGGAGACCAGGUGAGCAGCCCUGAGUCACAUGACCACUGCGGUCACCCUGCAGCUCCUGGGGACACCAUUGCGGAGCAGUGACAGGCUUACUACAGUGCCGUUCGUAAGUAUUUGGACAGUGACACAAGUCUUUUUGUUGCUUUGUUUUGGCUAUUACUCUAGAACACUGGAUUUGAAAUGAAUAUGAGGUUGGUGUGCAGACGGGCAGCUUUAAUUUAAGGGUAUUUACAUCCAUAUUGGGUGAUCUGUGUAAGAAUUGCAGACCUUUAUUAUA